rnacentral:rRNA from 1 species
UACGAGGGGGCAAGCGUUUGGUUCGGAAUUAUUGGGCGUAAAGGGUGCGUAGGCGGUCUGACAAGUCUGAUGUGAAAUCUAUGGGCUCAACCCAUAGUCUGCAUCGGAAACUGUCGGGCUUGAGUAUGGGGAGAGGUGAGUGGAAUUUCCGGUGUAGCGGUGAAAUGCGUAGAUAUCGGAAGGAACACCUGUGGCGAAAGCGGCUCACUGGACCAUUCUGACGCUGAGGCACGAAAAGCGUGGGGGAG